rnacentral:SRP_RNA from 1 species
CGUUAGGCUUGACCGGGGAGCUUGGCGUGCCCUGUACCCGCAACCGUCAACAGCGGGGGUGACAGCAGAGGGCGGCCGAGUCGAACGCUCGGGCCCGCAGAGAGACCAUGAGAUCUCGUCCUGCAGAGUCGGCGUAGCCGUUGCGGGCGGCCGGAGGGUCGCAUCGCGCGGAAUAAUCAGGGGAACCGGGUCAGGUCCUGACGGGAGCAGCCUCACCCUGAGCCACUGACGUUUGCGGGGAUACGGGGUCGAGGAUCGAUGCGGUCCACCCGCGCCGGGAGACGAGGCCCACCUCUGUGGCCUAACG